UAGAUGCCACAAAGAAUACAAACCCAAUAAAGUAGACGCCACAACCUAUGGGAAGGUUGAUAAUUCUUAAAGUUGCCACACUUAUGCAAAGUGAUAAGAGAAAUAACAACGCAAAAACUAUAAUGUUCUUCAAUAACAACUGAAAAUAUUAAGAUAGGAGGCCUUUAUAUAGGCAGUUACAAAGAAAUAAGACCAAACUAGGAAAAUAGAAACAUUGUCCAAACUAAACUAGUAAAAUAAAAACAUAGGUUAACUAGAAAAUAUAAAGCAACUUGGAAAAACCCUCUCUCCACCAAUCAACAUAUGUAGGAUGCCACAUAGGGUAGUUUGGUGUCUUGAACCCUUCUUCCACUUGCUGUGUGACAUCUUGGUUAGAUAUUUACACUAUUUCGGAAACCCUCCCCUUUUUUUGGACAGA
rnacentral:misc_RNA from 1 species